CCAAUCAAGAUAUUCAAGAAAACGAAACGAGGGAAUGCCCGCUUCUUCAGUGCCUUCCUACACCCGCGCUUCUGGAAAUCCAUUCAUGGCGGAAAUUGAAGAAAUCAAUGACCUACACUUGAAGAAAAUCGCACAACUCAGGAAACCAAAGGAAAAAGGAAAAAGAGAAAGGUGAAACUUGCAGAGCAGGUAGAAGAAUCAAUCCAUACAGCCAAUUCUCUCUUCGAAUUUUUUCGAUCACAAUUCGCACUCGCCAUUGCGGAUUUCAAUCUGGAUUGUGUUGAAUCCCUAGGGUUUUUUUUUUUAAUUUCCCCAAUUUGAAUCUCCAAUUUGUCGAUUUUGCGUUCAUAUUGUGAUAUUUUGGUUAGCCUCGUGCAUGCGCUCGGUUAUUAUUAGGGCACAGAAAUGGCGGAAAAUUGGGGGAAAAUAUACAUCUGAUUUUGAUUUCGGAUUUUGAUUUAGGGCAUAGAAAUGAGCAGUGUUCGUUUCGUAUUACAAGUUUCUUGAAUGAAAUUCGAUUAUUACAAUGUCGAAAAUCGGACCUCUUUCUCAGAAAUCACUGUUCUAUUUGUUCUUGAUGACUUCAACGCUGCUGAUGAUGUCGAUGCUGUUAGUAGUGCUAAGGCCAAAUGGUCGGAUUUCUUCGCUUGAUCUUAGGUUAUUCCCAAGAGCUAAUGAGAAUCUUGUUGUAAGAUCAUCUUCUGUAGAAAUUAGCAAUGAAGAAGAAGAAGAUCAAUUAGGUUUGAGAGAUUGUGAAAUUCUCAAGGUGUUCAUGUAUGAUUUGCCACCCCAAUUCCAUUUUGCUCUCUUGGGAUGGAAAGGCGGCGGCAACGGCGCGUCGGUAUGGCCCGAUGUCCGAGCCUCUGAGGUCCCCGAAUACCCCGGCGGAUUGAAUUUACAGCACAGCGUCGAAUACUGGCUGACAUUGGAUCUCUUGAGUUCGGAGUUUGAAAGAAACUUGAGCGGUCGUAGCGCUGUAAGAGUGCAUGAUCCGCGUCUAGCUGAUGUUGUGUUUGUCCCAUUUUUCGCAUCGAUUAGCUACAAUAAGUUCUCGAAGGUUAAGGUAGGACAGAGGAGCGUGGACGAUUUAUUACAGGAGAAAUUGGUUCGAUUCUUGACGAGCCGGGAGGAAUGGAAGAGGUCGGGUGGCAAGGAUCAUAUAAUCGUCGCUCAUCAUCCGAAUAGCCUUUUGUCUUCGAGGAUGAAGCUGUGGCCGGCAACGUAUGUUCUUGCUGACUUCGGGAGGUACCCUCUGUCCGUCGCUAAUGUUGAGAAGGAUGUGAUCGCGCCGUACGUGCAUCUUGCGCAGAACUAUUUGGAUGAUCGAUCAGACUUCGAUAGCCGGCCGACUCUGCUCUACUUUCAGGGUGCUAUAUACCGAAAAGCUGGCGGAACUAUUCGACAAGAGCUUUAUUACAUGCUGCAAGAUGAAAAGGACGUGCAUUUCGCGUUCGGAAGCAUAAAAGGGGACGGCAUCAGCAACGCAUCCCUCGGGAUGCAGCAGUCGAAGUUUUGCCUCAACAUCGCCGGCGACACUCCCUCGUCCAAUCGUCUGUUCGACGCCAUCGCCAGCCACUGUGUUCCCGUAAUAAUCAGCGACGAAAUUGAGCUUCCCUAUGAAGACAUCCUUGACUACUCCGAGUUCUCCGUAUUUGUCUCCCGAGAAGAUGCCCUAAAAGAAAACUUCCUCAUAACCAUGAUCCGGAACAUCGGCAGAGAGGAGUGGACGAAAAUGUGGCGAAGGCUGAAAGAAGUCGAGCAGUUCUUCGAGUUCCGGUACCCGUCGCGGCCGAAUGACGCUGUGCAGAUGAUAUGGCAAGCGAUCGCGCGGAGGGUCCCUGCGGUUACAAGGAAAGUGAACCGGGCCAGUCGAUUUUCAGAGACAGCUGAGUCGUCGGGAGAGACGUGGCUUUGGUCGGCCCCUCUGCCAAGGAACUUUACGUGAGAUUCGACGACGACGACGUUUUUUCGAGGGGUAUUGAUGCAGGUUUCUGCAGAAAAAAUACGCCAUGGAUGAGCUGUGGAUGAGCUGUGGAAAGUUUUGUUUUGAACAGAUCGAUCUUUAAUGGAACUAGAGACAUUAGAACGAGAAAAAGUUACAUGGAAAAAGUGUGCUUGUUUGGCUUAGAGACGAAUGCCGUUUUAUCUUUGGAUAUGAACGUCAUCGGAGUCGGCGGCAAAGGUGGUGGCAGCGUCGCUGAAGAGAGCAGCAGCAACGCGGGCAAGUUUCAGUUUUGUAAAAAGGUGGCUGGGUACGGAGAGAAGAGAAUGAUAUUAUUAAGAGGAAGAGAUGAACUUAGAAUUUAAAUUAUUGUUAUUUUUUUUUUUAUUAAAAGAGUAAUAAUAAUAAUAAUAAUACACGUGUUGCUUUUUUGUGGAUUUGACUGUGUAGACCGUGAAAAA